rnacentral:rRNA from 1 species
UACGUAGGGUGCGAGCGUUAAUCGAAAUUACUGGGCGUAAAGCGUGCGCAGGCGGUUUUGUAAGCCAGAUGUGAAAUCCCCGGGCUUAACCUGGGAAUGGCAUUUGGGACUGCAAGGCUGGAGUGCGGCAGAGGAGACUGGAAUUCCUGGUGUAGCAGUGAAAUGCGUAGAUAUCAGGAGGAAUACCGAUGGCGAAGGCAGGUCUCUGGGCUGACACUGACGCUCAUGCACGAAAGCGUGGGGAGCAAACAGG